rnacentral:RNase_P_RNA from 1 species
GAAGCAAGCCAGACAGCCGCUGGUUGCCGCAGCGAUGCGGUGACGGGAGGAAGGUCCGGACUCCACAGAGCAGGGUGACGGUUAACGGCCGUCCGCCGAAAGCCGCAAGGUAUAAGGCGAGGAAUAGGGCCACAGAGACGAGCGUAUUUAGUUACGGUGAAACGCGGUAACCUCCACUCGGUGCAAUUCCAAGCAGUACGCGAUGAGGCUGCUCGCGGAGCGUACGGGUAGGAAGCUUGAGCGCCGGAGUAAUUCGGCGCCUAGAGGAAUGGCUGUCAUAGCGCGGAUUCGCAAGGGUUCGCGCCGUAACAAAAUCCGGCCUAUCGGCUUGCUUCACUU